rnacentral:sRNA from 1 species
CUUCUCUCAAUUUGUAUUUAUUUUUGCUUCUACCCUUAGGAUAGAAUUAGAAUACAAAUAUAAAAUAUCAUUAAGAACCAUAUUCUGGUUGUUAAAUACGGUAUAUUUAUCUGCUGUCAGAGCCCACAAUAUGUUCUCCGGUACGCAUUGAGAAUAGUGGAGAUAUUCCUCGUUACACUUCGUCGGGGACUGCCCUGUGUUCGUGUAAUGCAUAGGAGCGUAAUUUAACUAUCCAUGUGGUAUCAGGUUUGACUGGAUUCCGGGCCAAAUGCACUUCCCGAUCAGUUGGCGAUGCGCUUGGGAGUUGCUAACACCGCCAAGUUCUUCUUGCGGCUCAGAGAUGUAGCCCCAAAUAUAAAUGCAAUCAAUUUCUACUUUCUGAUAAUAUAAGUCGAAGUCGUAGUCGAAGCAAUGGUAGCCGAGCCCCCCUCGCCCAAAGGUGAAGCAUUUGAAGCUCUCUCCCGCUUCGGCACUGGUGGCAUUCCAGUCGGCAGAGCUCGCUGCGGGAUAGGAUAUAGGAUAUAGGCUCCGGCUUAGUGACGGAGGCGCUUGUUCUCAUCGGGCAUACACUGGAGGGGACUUCAAGCGCUGAGUCCAUUGAUUUGGAAAUUUAUGUUAGCCGAGAAAUUACCCAGGAAUUCGUUGCCUCGACUGGAGUACGUCGGAUCGCCUAAAAGCACUCUCAUGAAUCGGGCCCUGUCGGCUUCGGCCUCCUCGGCGCUUGGAUGUGCUCUCAGAGUCCUCGUCAGGCGUAAAGCCAAACUAGUUUUUUGAUCCGCCGCAGGUGAUAAGAGAGGUGUUUGGAGAAAUAAAACAUCCAAAAAGCAAACAACAACCAAUAAUAAUCUAUUAUCUUUGGA